rnacentral:rRNA from 1 species
ACUUAACUUAUGGACGGAAUUACCCCCGGGAAAUUGAGUAUAUGGUCCAAAAAACCUUUAUGCCGGGAUUGUUUUUUGUUCCAAAUGAUUUACCCCCGAAGGAGGGGACGGCGCCCAAUUUUUUUGUGGGGGAGGUAAUGCCCCACAAAAAUAAUUACGGGUGCGGCUUCUAAAAGAACUACCCCGAAGAUGGUUACUGAAACACGAACCCCGCCCCUAGGGGGCCAAGCAGGCAAAAAAUUUUUGCAUUGUGCAAAAGCCCAACAAGGUUAUUCCAAUUGUUUCCUGCUAAAGAAACUUUUUGUCGUUCCAAAAACCACCAAUAAAUAAGGGGGGGGCAAUUUUUGGUGCCACCCCCCGCGUAAAAACCACCCCCUCAGGUGGUCAGGAUAAUUACGGGGCCUAAACCAUCCGUAGCCGGUUCUGUAAUUUUUCGGUUAAUUCUGUACCCUCAACUUACAGGCCGCCGGAAUUCCUGAAAAGUUAGGGAGGGGAAAAGGUAAACGGUCCUCGGAAGGAAGGGUAAAAUUCUUUUGAUCUAUUGAUAACCACUGGUGGCGAAGGCGUCCUACAAAACCCCUUCCAACGGUGAGGAAUAAAAGCUGGGGAACCAAACCGAAUUAAAUCCCCGGUUAGCCCCAGUUGUAAACUAUGCAAACUCAUUGAUGCAUUGGUUUGUGCCCAAUGCAUUGCUGC